GACUAACCGCGAAAGUCUUCGGGGAGCCGUAAGUAGGCUUUGAUCCGGAGGUCUCCGAAUGGGGGAACCCAGCAUGUGCAGACAUGCUAUCCUUAAGUGAAUACAUAGCUUAAGGAGGGAACACGCAGUGAACUGAAACAUCUAAGUAGCUGCAGGAAGAGAAAGAAAUAUCGAUUUCCCAAGUAGCGGCGAGCGAACAGGAAAGAGCCCAAACCGGCAGAUUUAUCUGCCGGGGUUGUAGGACUGAGACAUGGCACUUCAGAGGAUAGCAGAAGCGUUUGGGAAAGCGCGCCAGAGAGGGUGAGAGCCCCGUAAGCGAAAUCCAAAGAAGGCCUAUCAGUAUCCUGAGUAGGGCGGGACACGUGAAAUCCCGUUUGAAUCCGCGAGG
rnacentral:rRNA from 1 species